CUGGAUAUGGUGGAAUAUGUAUGAAGAUUGUGAGUAGGUCAACAUGAAAUCGAUGACUCUUGGUAAGAGAAGAUCACAUCUUACUUGCUCUGAUCGAUUGAUGAUUCAGAAAAUUUUUGAUCAAAGUAAAAUAAAAAUAAAUUUUUUAAUAUUUUAUUAAUCAAAUUAUCAUUAAAGAUUAAGAGAAAUAUGAGUAUGAUAUUAGAUUUGACAUCAUUUCAUAUCCAAAGUUAUAUUUGGGAUGCAGGA
rnacentral:lncRNA from 1 species